GAUGAACGCUGGCGGCGUGCCUAAUACAUGCAAGUCGAGCGAACAGACGAGGAGCUUGCUCCUCUGACGUUAGCGGCGGACGGGUGAGUAACACGUGGAUAACCUACCUAUAAGACUGGGAUAACUUCGGGAAACCGGAGCUAAUACCGGAUAAUAUAUUGAACCGCAUGGUUCAAUAGUGAAAGACGGUUUUGCUGUCACUUAUAGAUGGAUCCGCGCCGCAUUAGCUAGUUGGUAAGGUAACGGCUUACCAAGGCGACGAUGCGUAGCCGACCUGAGAGGGGGAUCGGCCACACUGGAACUGAGACACGGUCCAGACUCCUACGGGAGGCAGCAGUAGGGAAUCGUCCGCAAUGGGCGAAAGCCUGACGGAGCAACGCCGCGUGAGUGAUGAAGGUCUUCGGAUCGUAAAACGCUGUUAUUAGGGAAGAACAAAUGUGUAAGUAACGAUGCACGUCUUGACGGUACCUAAUCAGAAAGCCACGGCUAACUACGU
rnacentral:rRNA from 1 species